rnacentral:rRNA from 1 species
CAGCAGUCGCCGCGGGAAUACGUAGGGCGCGAGCGUUAAUCGGAAUUACUGGGCGUAAAGCGUGCGCAGGCGGUUCGUUAAGACAGAUGUGAAAUCCCCGGGCUUAACCUGGGAACUGCAUUUGUGACUGGCGAGCUAGAGUAUGGCAGAGGGGGGUAGAAUUCCACGUGUAGCAGUGAAAUGCGUAGAGAUGUGGAGGAAUACCGAUGGCGAAGGCAGCCCCCUGGGCCAAUACUGACGCUCAUGCACGAAAGCGUGGGGAGCAAACAGGAUUAGAUACCCCCGUAGUCCCUGUCUCUUAUAU